CAAGGUCUGCCUGGUAUCGCUGGUCACCAUGGUGAUCAAGGUGCUCCUGGCUCCGUGGGUCCUGCUGGUCCUAGGGGCCCUGCUGGUCCUUCUGGCCCUGCUGGAAAAGAUGGUCGCACUGGACAUCCUGGUACAGUUGGACCUGCUGGCAUUCGAGGCCCUCAGGGUCACCAAGGUCCUGCUGUAAGUAUGAUUUGGGGAAAUAAUAAAGAAGAUCACUGACCUAAGGAAUGUUUUCUUCAGACUAAACCAAGACAACUAUGACAACCCAUUAAAGUUAGCCCCAUUUCAAUAUAUUCUCUAAAAUAUCUGGAAAUUGUCUAUAUGCAAUGGGCUUGUUAAGUCCAUCCCUGCAAGUGUGCCUGGAAGCACGUUAUUUA
rnacentral:sRNA from 1 species